rnacentral:lncRNA from 1 species
GAGGCGGGAGCGGGUGCAGGCCCUCCGGAGGCGCCGGCGGAGCCCGACCACGACGGCCCCAGGGAGGAUGACGAACCCAACCUGGUGCCCGGCCCGCAGCGCCUGCAGCCGCGGCCCCCUCAGCAGCUGUGUCUCCUGGCGCCUCCUCGCCAUACCCAGCAGAGCAGUUGGAGCAGACAGCCAGGCUGCCCGGAGGAGUUUUUGGUGGGGUUUCUGCACUGAGGUGGAAACCCAGCAGAACCUGCCCUUCUUCCCUCCCCUGCUCCGCAAGGCAGCCCACCCCGACCUUGAGAUCCCAGGUUUGGAGAAUCCUGCUGAGAGCGAACAGUAGGAGGAUUCCCCAAAGCUUCCAGCUUGCCACCUGGAAGAAGGUCACUUUCUUUUGAGCAAAGGAGAUAACGGGAGGAAGGCAGGCUCCUGCAGGAGUCUUGGAGGGUCGGAUGCGGCGCCGGAUGAGGAUGAGGCGUGGCGGAAGAUGCGUUUGGCUCUGCAGACACUGCAUCGGGCAGCAGGGGACUCUGGGAGGCUGGUGCAGCCAGAAGGCAUGGCUCUUGACAGCCUUCUAGUAGAAUCUCUGGAAUUGUGCAUGUCCCCCCCGCCUCCAGCCAGCCUGUGCAGACUUGCUGCCUGCUGUGUCACCGGGAACGCAAAGGCUGGGAAGAAGGCCCUUCUCAAAAUGGACUGGUGUUGCAGGGUGAGAAGCUGCCCCCUGACUUCAUGCCAAAGCUCGUCAAGAAUCUCCUAGGCGAGAUGCCUCUGUGGGUCUGCCAGAGUUGCCGAAAGAGCAUGGAGGAAGAUGAAAGGCAGACAGGUCGAGAACAUGCA